CUUAUUUUCAGUGGACAGUUCCCUGAUACGAUUCCUUCUGACCGUUCCUAAGAAUCUGAGCUUGGCCUCUCAUUCCAACAUUUUCCUUCUCAACAAGUGGAGUUAAGAGGAAUUCCCCAAGUCGAUUGCACCUCCUUGUGUCCUGCAGCAGAACUGUGCCUCAGAUGUUUAACUAUAGCUGACAGACACAAGAUGCAGAAAAACUUGGAGAAGUAGAAACUUUA